GGAAUGGUUCAGUCCACCAGGAGCCGAAUGGUUCAGUCCACCAGGAAGAGGAUCUUUCUUACUGAGGAGAAACUCCUGCAGCUUCAGCUUCACCUCGGUGCUGGCAAUGGCACCUGACAACACACACACACACACUCCUCAAACACCC